rnacentral:rRNA from 1 species
CCUACGGGUGGCAGCAGUGGGGAAUAUUGGACAAUGGGCGAAAGCCUGAUCCAGCCAUGCCGCGUGUGUGAAGAAGGCCUUCGGGUUGUAAAGCACUUUCAGUGGGGAAGAAAGCCUUGGGGCUAAUACCCUCGAGGAAGGACAUCACCCACAGAAGAAGCACCGGCUAACUCCGUGCCAGCAGCCGCGGUAAUACGGAGGGUGCGAGCGGUAAUCGGAAUUACUGGGCGUAAAGCGCGCGUAGGCGGUCUGAUAAGCCGGUUGUGAAAGCCCCGGGCUCAACCUGGGAACGGCAUCCGGAACUGUCAGGCUAGGGGGCAGAGGAGGAAGGUGGAAUCCCCGGGGUAGGGGGGAAAUGGGUAGAGAUCGGAGGGAAUACCAGUGGCAAAGGCGGCCUUUUGGCCGGCAACGGACCCUGAGGUGCGAAAGCGUGGGUAGCAAACAGGAUUAGUUACCCCAGUAGU